rnacentral:rRNA from 1 species
AGGGCAAGUCUGGUGCCAGCAGCCGCGGUAAUUCCAGCUCCAAUAGCGUAUAUUAAAGUUGUUGCAGUUAAAAAGCUCGUAGUUGAAUUUCGGGGACGGUAGAUUGGUCGUGCCACAGGUAUGUACUGGUCUUACUGGCUCCUCCUUCCUGAUGAACCGUAAUGCCAUUAAUUUGGUGUUGCGGGGAGACUGGACUGUUACUUUGAAAAAAUUAGAGUGUUUAAAGCAGGCUAACGCUUGAAUACAUUAGCAUGGAAUAAUGAAAUAGGACGUUCGAUCUUAUUUUGUUGGUUUCUAAGAUUGACGUAAUGAUUAAUAGGGAUAGUUGGGGGCAUUAGUAUUCAAUUGUCAGAGGUGAAAUUCUUGGAUUUAUUGAAGACUAACUACUGCGAAAGCAUUUGCCAAGGAUGUUUUCAUUAAUCAAGAACGAAAGUUAGGGGAUCGAAGACGAUCAGAUACCGUCGUAGUCUUAACCAUAAACUAUGCCGACUAGGGAUCGGAUGAUGUUAAUUUUUUAAUGACUCAUUCGGCGCCUUACGGGAA